ACGUAGGGUGCGAGCGUUAAUCGGAAUUACUGGGCGUAAAGCGUGCGCAGGCGGUUCGCUAAGACAGAUGUGAAAUCCCCGGGCUUAACCUGGGAAUGGCGCUUGUGACUGGGGGACUUGAGUGCGGCAGAGGAGAGUGGAAUUCCACGUGUAGCAGUGAAAUGCGUAGAGAUGUGGAGGAACACCGAUGGCGAAGGCAGC
rnacentral:rRNA from 1 species